rnacentral:rRNA from 1 species
CUGGCGACCGGCAAACGGGUGCGUAAUACGUACGCAACCUUCCUUUGAGCGGGGAAUAGCCCAGGGAAACUUGGAUUAAUACCCCAUAAUAUGAUGGAGAGGCAUCUCUUUAUUAUUAAAGCUCCGGCACUCGAAGAUGGGCGUACGGCUGAUUAGGUAGUUGGCGGGGUAAUAGCCCACCAAGCCGACGAUCAGUAGCUGAUGUGAGAGCAUGAUCAGCCACACGGGCACUGAGACACGGGCCCGACUCCUACGGGAGGCAGCAGUAAGGAAUAUUGGUCAAUGGACGCAAGUCUGAACCAGCCAUGCCGCGUGAAGGAUUAAGGUCCUCUGGAUUGUAAACUUCUUUUAUCUGAGACGAAACCCCUCCAUUCUUGGAGGCCUGACGGUACCAGAUGAAUAAGCACCGGCUAACUCCGUGCCAGCAGCCGCGGUAAUACGGAGGGUGCAAGCGUUAUCCGGAUUUACUGGGUUUAAAGGGUGCGUAGGUGGGUAUGUAAGUCAGUGGUGAAAUCCCCGAGCUUAACUUGGGAACUGCCGUUGAUACUAUAUAUCUUGAAUAUCGUAGAGGUAAGCGGAAUAUGUCAUGUAGCGGUGAAAUGCUUAGAGAUGACAUAGAACACCAAUUGCGAAGGCAGCUUACUAUGCGAUCAUUGACACUGAGGCACGAAAGCGUGGGGAUCAAACAGGAUUAGAUACCCUGGUAGUCCACGCCCUAAACUAUGGAUACUCGACAUACGCGAUACACUGUGUGUGUCUGAGCGAAAGCAUUAAGUAUCCCACCUGGGAAGUACGACCGCAAGGUUGAAACUC